UGGCCUGCGCUUGCCCUGUUGUGGCUGUGGUGCAGGGGGAAAGGGGAGGGCGGCGAUGCCUCGUGCUACUCUCUGCUGACGGGGAUGCUACGUGUGGGGCGUGAAGGCCCGCGCAAAACCACCAGAAGGCGUUAUUUGGAGAGCGCUCGUGGGUUCCGUUCAGCUCCUGCUUCUGGUCGUGGCUUGGCAUGUGGCAGGAUGGAGCGUGGUGGGCCUUGGUGCUGUGACGGGGAGCAGCGGUCCGGCCUGGGAGACGCGUUUCGUUCCUGCUAGCAGCCCUUUCCCCGCGUCUGCAGACGUAGCUUGGGUUGGUUGGCGGGUUUUGUGUGUUGGUCGUACCCAGGUACACCGGUGGAGGUGGUUUAUCAGCACGCGUUCUUUGUCCUCGAGACUUCCUUAAGCUGCUUGUCUAAGUGUGAGCUUUGCUCUUCGUGCUUCCAAACUGCUGUGAGCUCAUUACAGGCAGACCACAGAUUCCAGCUUUAUUGUUCGUGCUUAAGUGCAUUGUAAUCCAGAAAUAAAUGUGUGCUGCUUUUCCUCUUCUUUCCUCCUCCCAGCGUUGUGAAUUAGCAUUUCACACACCUGAGUAACAGUAAGUGUUAGUAGUGAAAGGGUUUGUGGCUUUUCUCCACCACACUUGCUACUUUUUCUUGGAAGAAAGGUGCAGGUGGACUGUUGUGUUCAAAAUAUAUCAGCUGCUCUUCCUGUAAGAUCACUGUUUUCUGAAUCAGAGAAAGUGACUAAUAAUACAUACCACAGAUUUAUUAGAGUAAGAAACCACUUAAGUAAAUCAAAUCACUUUUGCUCUCUAGAACAACUCAGUACCAUACUUCUGUAUAUGGGAGGGUCUGAGAUAACAGUUUCAUGUAUAGGUCAAAAAUCUGAUUAAUUCUCAUGGCUGAUAAUAUUCAGCAAGCUGGAAGCCACACCUGUAAUCAUUCUUGGUUGAUAAAGGCAAGCUCUGACUGAUUACAUGCCCUCCUGCCUUUACUGGUGUUCCAUUUCUGAAGUGGAACCUUCCUCCCUCUUGGCAUCUCUCUGUCCUCCAACCACUCUGUAAUUAGCUUUCCUAAAUACAGCAGACUUCCCUAACUACUACUUUGCAUAACAUUCCAGGCUGCCAAAUGGCUUACCAAGAAGCUAAAUAAAAAAAAAACAACUUCUGAUACUCUUGGCCAUGCUGAAGACUGUUCUCUGACUGGAUUCCAUUCAAAAAGUGGAGGAGAAUCAGUUAGCUGGGCCAGUGGAUAUUAUCUUGCUCUCCUUGGUUGUUUAACCAUCUUAGUUAAUUAUGUGUUGUCUGAUACACUAGUAUCUGAGAAACACAGCUUUUGACUUCUCUAUCCUGACAGCACCAGAGGGAGUUGGAAUUUUUUAUAGUACCAAUUUGAUAGAUAAAAUUCACACUGUUAUGCUUGUAUAUGUUCAGAGGAGAGUAUAUCCUGCAUGCCAUGUCUGUGGUUGCCAUUGUUCCAUUGUUGUCUGAAGAGCAAAUAAAACUCACUGGCAGGCAGGGCUCAGUUUUUUCCAGCUAUUUCCUGCUAGAGCCUUCUCUUCAGUUCUUUUUGUUAAGCCUGCCCUAACCCACUUUCCCAUUUCCUGCUGUUUGGUACCACAGUACUGAAUACCACUUAGCACUCAGUGCUUAACUUAGUUCUGUUCUGCAGUGGUUGGAUUCCUGUAGAAUUGUGGCACAUGAUCAUAUGCUUUUCUGUGCAUAUAUUUGGUUUUAGUAUUUGCUGAUCAGUUUCUCAUUUGAGUCCUUGUAAAUGCUACAGCUACAGAAAAGGCUUCAUUUGUUUUAAUCACCAAAGUGAAGCAACUGAGAGAUAGAGAUUGAUAGGAAACUAAACUGCAAUAGUUUUAGGGCAUGUGGAAUUGCUACUUAUAUCUGUAAGACAAUGUUUCUCAAGGUUAUCCAUUAUUUAUAAUAUCUGUUAAAAUUUUCACAGUGCUUUACAGAAAUCAGCACAGAAGUAAGAACUAAUUUAAGUUAGGAUAGUAGGUCAAAAAGCUUUUGGACUGAAGGGCUGCAACAUACCAGCUUGGUUUUCAGGAGAGGUGAACGAGUUAGGAUUUGUUGCCAAAGAUCUAUAACUAGAUAAAAAAUCCGUUUUUCCUUAUAGCAAGCCUGGCUCAUAAUCUUACAAAUAGUGAAAAUCAAAAUGGAAAGGAAAGAAAACUUGCAGGCUGAAUGCUUGCUCUGCUGGCAUUUUUUAUUAUUCUAAUACAAAAGAAAACACAGUGUAGUCAAAAUGGCUGGUUAGAUUAGAGUGCAAGAUCUUGCUCUGUGGUGAUUAUCCUUGCUAAAGUUAGCCUCCUUGCUUAUGUCUCAGCAAUAAACGAUGUGUUGGUUAACAAGUUGGGGAGGCAUCUGGCAGGUUGGAAGUGAAGAAGACCACCUUCUGCUUUUGCUUCAGACUUUUUAAAGCACUGAGGUCACCCCUUGCCUGCAGUGCAGUGUCUUUGUCUCUGGAGGACUGUGUGGUCUCCUACAGUAGGCAACUGUGAAGCAGGCCAAAAGUAAGCUGACCAGAUCCCUCUGCCAUGUGGGAUCUUGGAGUCAGACUGUAAAACACAGAUCCAAAUCUUGCUGUGGAAGAGUGGGAAAUGGAAAGUAAUUGAUUUUAUUUGCAGGUAAAUAUGUUUUCUGAGAUGAGAGUGGAAGAGUUUCACACCAUCUGACAAACACCCCCAGAGCAUGUGUAUAUUGCACACACAUCACCUCUCCAAUCACAUAAUUAUAAUCUUCACAAGUGCUCUCAGAAGAAACUCAAGCUUUGAAAUACCUCCUGGACAUUUGUCAGAGUUUACUGAAGAGGAAACAGUUGGCAAAAAAAAUAAAAUAGUUCAUCUCCACUGA